GGGCCGUUAGCUCAGCGGCAGAGCAGGUGACUUUUAAUCCUCGUGUCGCGGGUUCGAAUCCCGCACGGCCCUCCA
rnacentral:tRNA from 1 species